UAAUACAGAGGGUGCAAGCGUUAAUCGGAAUUACUGGGCGUAAAGCGUGCGUAGACGGUUACAUAAGUCGGGUGUGAAAGCCCCGGGCUCAACCUGGGAAUUGCAUUCGAGACUGCGUAGCUAGGGUGCGGAAGAGGGAAGCGGAAUUUCCGGUGUAGCGGUGAAAUGCGUAGAUAUCGGAAGGAACACCAGUGGCGAAAGCGGCUUCCUGGUCCAGCACCGACGUUCAGGCACGAAAGCGUGGGGAGCAAACAGGAUUAGAUACCCUGGUAGUCCACGCCAUAAACGAUGGGCACUAGACGUUGAAGGGGUAAGCCCUCCAGUGUCGUAGCUAACGCGCUAAGUGCCCCGCCUGGGGAGUACGGCCGCAAGGUU
rnacentral:rRNA from 1 species